rnacentral:rRNA from 1 species
AGUGAACGCUGGCGGUAGGCCUAACACAUGCAAGUCGAACGGCAGCACAGUAAGAGCUUGCUCUUACGGGUGGCGAGUGGCGGACGGGUGAGGAAUACAUCGGAAUCUACUUUUUCGUGGGGGAUAACGUAGGGAAACUUACGCUAAUACCGCAUACGACCUACGGGUGAAAGCAGGGGAUCUUCGGACCUUGCGCGAUUGAAUGAGCCGAUGUCGGAUUAGCUAGUUGGCGGGGUAAAGGCCCACCAAGGCGACGAUCCGUAGCUGGUCUGAGAGGAUGAUCAGCCACACUGGAACUGAGACACGGUCCAGACUCCUACGGGAGGCAGCAGUGGGGAAUAUUGGACAAAGGGCGCAAGCCUGAUCCAGCCAUACCGCGUGUGUGAAGAAGGCCUUCGGGUUGUAAAGCCCUUUUGUUGGGAAAGAAAAGCAGCAAGUUAAUACCCCGCUGUUCUGACGGUACCCAAAGAAUAAGCACCGGCUAACUUCGUG